UGACAUCAUUAGUGGUAUUACUGGAACCCAUCUGCAGCCAGAGUCUCCUCCACUCCUCCACCCAACUGCCCAAAGCUGGGUCGUGAAGAAGAAAUUCCAGCCAGACAGUGUGAAAUCUCCACCCUCUCCAGCCACCAGUCUACGCUAUCCAGCAUCUCACUUUUGAUGGAGUCACUAUAAGGUGAUCAUCAGGGAAGCAAGAGGAAGCAGAAGGCUCUGUUAUGUGCCAGAGAGAAUGAAGGGCAUGCUGUAAACAAUAUCUAUGCGCCAAAUGCUACUGAAUCUUUCAACAGAUCAUUAAGCAGUCAACAGCUCUGGUCUGGAAAUACACUGAUUGUUUAGAGAAAAGUCCACAACCAAAUUGGUCCUUUGGAUAUCUGGCUGCUAUGAUUUUGGAAAAAUAUAAAAUAGCUCACAGCAUUAGUGCAUUUAUAUACGUAAGGGAAGCAAAUUAUCUGCUGAAAUUCAUGGCACUACAUAUUAACUUUAAAAUCUAAAGCUUUUUACACAUAAGUUCCUCCAAAACAUUUUGUCCCCUAACAUCAACAGCAACAGAAGAAGUUGAUGGCUGGUGUGAGAAUCUUAAUUCAAGUGACAGCAAGACUUUGCCAGUUACGUGUAUUUUUAUGUCGAGAAGAAAAAAUAGAAAAUGUCAAACUAUACCUAAAAGUAGCUAAAAGCUUGUAAGCUAAUAAAAUUUAGUUCGCACUUCAUUCUUUAAAAGUCUCAACUCUUCCUGUAAAUAGUCCACUUCCUACAAUUCCUAAAAGUUCAGUAAGAGUUGAAAGCACUUAGUAACUCACAGGAAGUUGCUCA